GGGAAGGUCAUGUGACAUCGCAGCAGCUGCUAGGCUAAGAAUUUCUGUUUUCACUCAGCGAGAGAAAGCGAGAGAGAGAGGAGAUAGGCAGAGUUGUGUGGUGUGUUGCUUCGUAAGAUAAGCUCCAAACGGUCUUUGUGAGCGACCGAGUGAGCGUGCGCGAGAGAGAGAGAGAAAAGGAGAGAGAAGCGACGGAGAGGAGGAAGAGAAGAUGGUGUGUGUCUUGACUGUGUCUCUGUCUGUGUGCUGGGUUUGGCUGAAGAUGCAGCGAUGGGAGAACCAGGGAGCUCCAGUCCUUUGUGCAGUUUAUAUUGGGCCUGGCUCAGUUGGAGCAUGUUAAGUAGAGCUGCUGUGUGGGCUGAGGCAGACAGACCGGACCUCUUGAGGUGUGUAAGGUGUGUAAGGUGUGUAAGGUGUGUAAGGUGUGUAAGGUGUGGUGUGAGACAGACAGAUAGCCCCCAGUGUGUGUGUGUACGGUCUGGUGUGAGACAGACAGAUAGCCCCCAGUGUGUGUGUGUGUGUACGGUCUGGUGUGAGACAGACAGAUAGCCCCCAGUGUGUGUGUGUGUACGGUCUGGUGUGAGACAGACAGAUAGCCCCCAGUGUGUGUGUGUGUACGGUCUGGUGUGAGACAGACAGACAGCCCCCAGUGUGUGGGAGAGAUUUUCCAGUCCACAGGGCUCAGUGUCACUGGGGGGGGGGUUCCAUAGUGUCAGCUGUCUGAACCCUCAAC